CUUUGAUUUCAUUCACACGUCUUCUUCUUCUAGAGUUCUGUUUUUAUGGAUAUGAUUUGUGGGUUUUUGGUUCAGGAACUGCAGAGGUUGUGCCUUAUGUUGAUGCUGAUUUGAAGCAUACCGCUGUUAAGGUUGUCGAGAAAGCCAAAGCACUAUGUCUGAGCAAGUCAGUAUGGAUAUAUAUUGACUACCUUGUUCCAUUAUUCUGCUUUGUUAUAUAGAUCAAAGCUUGAAUAGAAAAAGAUUUGGACUUUUAUGUGUAUUCAGUCCUUAUGUAUUAGAUUAGAUGAGCUUUAGUUCGUGUGAAUCUCUUUUAUCAUUCAAAAGCAUCAACCUUUGAGACAAUCCACAAGUUUUCGCCUUCUUGUUCUUAACAAUUUUAUCUUUUUUCUUUUGUUAGAUACUACAAUAAUGUUUGGUUUGUUGUCUAGGUUCAUGGCGCAAUGAUAGUAGUUUUUGAAGGCGAUGCAAGGAAUAUCCUGUGCGAGGUACAUAAGAAGGCAAGUCACGGGUUCACAGUGAGAGUGGAAGACUCUUGUGUCACGGUUGUAUUUUUUGUCGUCUGUCAUUAGUUGUUGUUCUGUACUCACGAGAAUAUUGUAAAGUGUCAUGUUUUGUAGUCUUGUGUCAUGGUUGUAUUCUUCUCUUAUUGUCCAUAUUCAAAUUGUAUUGGUGUGUCACGGAGUUGUAGUUAAAGUUCGUAUAUAAACUCUUUGUAUUGUUGGUCUUUCUUUAAAAACACAUAAUCAAGUAUUUCUUUAUAAACUAUUCUUGUUCUCUCUUUAAAGUCCCAAGUCUUGUUCUUUAUAAACACAUAAUCAGGUUCUGUUCUUGUUCUUGUUGUGUCGCGGGUUUAGGGUUACAAACUCAUAAUAUCUUGUCCCACCGUUUGGAAAUGGCAAUAUUCUCGGGGUUCGGGUAAACCAACGAUCGUUUUAGAGGCGGUUGCUUCAUAUGAUCUCUGGAUAUGGCAUGCGUUUUUUGGACCUCCACGUAUCUUAAAUGAUAUCAAAUGCAUUAACAACUGAAAGAUGAUUUGGUUGAACAUAUAUAGCGCAAAUAUGGACGUGAUGAAGAUAACAACUGAGCUCGGAUGCUUCUUUCAAAUUAUUCUCGUUUAUUUUACUAAUCUUUGUUUUUAUGUUUUUAUUUAAAAUUCAAUGUUUAACAUGUUAUAUUUUAUGAUGUUUUAUUCAAUAAAUAACUUUUAUGUUAAAAAAAAAUUGUUUAAUAAUUUUUUUAAAAACCUUUAAUUAAGAUACUUGCAUUAGAGCACCUAAAUGUUGCCGUCUCUUAGCGGAGUCUCUUAAACCACAUUUAUUAUUAAAAAAAAAUAAGAGACCCAUUUAGAGUCUCUAGGUUAAUCAUGCUUAGUAUGUAGAAUUUUAUUAAAUGCUACAUUCAAUACUAGAAAAUAUCGGUUCAAUAGUUUUAUUUGCUUCCGUGUUGGUAAAGAUAGUGAGAAAAGAAAAGCUAUAUCCAAAGAGAGCACGUCUUUUUGUUCUUGCUCUUGCUUUCUUGUUGUUAAGUGUCUGUCUUGCUCAGGAAAGAGCUUUCUUCUCCAGAAACCUCAGUGACGAUUUUCUCCAGCCCUCGCAUGUUCAGGUUUGGUUUCUUCACCCCUGUUAAUUCCACAAGUCAGUACGCAGGUAUAUGGUACAACAACAUUCCUGUACAAACUGUAAUAUGGGUUGCUAAUAAAGACCAACCCAUCAACGACUCCUCUGGAGUUAUCUCUGUGACGGAGAUGGAAACCUCUUAGUUACGGAUGGUCAGAGACGUGUCUUCAGAAGCGAAACAGCCUGCUUUUCUAUCAAGUAACGUUGCUUCGGAAGCUGAGUCUUCUGAGAACAGUGACCAUUUAACCUCUAUCAACAAUUAAUGUCACCAUCACUGAUGUUUCAGGACGUUAUAACGCUCAGAAACAAAACGUAUGUUUAUUAGAGAAACCCUUGUUUGAAUGGCCAGAGAAUACAUCAUCCAUCUUUAUAGAUGGUUAGGGUCUCAAACAUGUAGUAAUUUAAAAGUGCUUAUAUAUAACAAUUGUACGAAAUCAGGAUAUGUAGCGCAAGAACCCACAUCUCUUAAGCGUUUGCUGGUCGUAUAGUAGGAAGUUCAAUGGAUGCACUUUCAUGUGAAGUAGAAAGAUGUGUGGAAGAUUCAGCUGCUUGUUGUUGAGACUCAGGAUCAUAAAACUGGCGGUGGUCAUGAUGCUCAGAGUGGCUAGGACGACGAGGAUUAGGAAAACUUUCACCGCUUUGGUUGUUGGAAUUGUGAAGGAGAUGGAUCGGAGAUGAGUCAUGAGUUGGUGUGUUUGAUUCAGAGUGUCUUCCAUGUUGUGUCUCUUUCUGUGCUUUGUGAUGCCACUUAUUUAGCAUCUUGGAUACUCUUUUGUUGAAUACCGUUGGCUUCAUCCUAGUACUCAUCUACACACAUUUCAUCAAAUACAAUGUCAUAAAAAAAACUAAGAUCAUCAUGUAUUGAUCUCACUGAAAAUUAUGUUUUUUAUUACCUGAAUGACAAGAGCAUAGAGUGGAAGUCAUAUAGCUGCAAAGUAUCUGUACAACAAGUCUGCAAAUUUGUGACCUGGUCAGUUAAAUAAAGUUUUUUCCCCGAGUAUUCACACAACCAAUUGUCAAGCUAAUGUUUAGCUUACCCAACUAUCUAUAUAUAAUAGCAAACCAAUUUUGUGUUAACAGCUGACGUCAUCAAUUUUUUAUAGGAAAAAAAAAGUUUGAUCCAAUGGUCAACAUUUUUCAUAUUUUAUGAUCUUAUGGAUAUAAAACACUCUUUCUAUAGAUGAUGAUGUCAUCAAUUUUUUUGGCAACUCUUCUAUCAACAGACAUCUAUUUUAAACAACACAUCUUUUUAAGAGACACAAUGGCAACUCUUCUUUCAACCGUCAUCUAUUUGAAACAACACAUCUUUUUAAAAAACCCAAAUCAUACAUUUUCAUCUAAACAACACAUCCUUUAACCAACAUACAUUUUCAUAAUUUAUUUAAACAUUCAACCCAAUAGUCAGAAUUAUUUGUUUUUAUCAUCUAAAAGACAUAAAACACUUUCGUUGAAUUCACUAUUGUCAGCCAAAAAAUUAUAUUUGACAAAACUUUCUUUAUUUAUUUAAUUAAUGUGUCCUUUCACAAACAUAAUUUUUCCUAAUUUUAAGUAUUUUUUAUAUAUCGAAGCAACACAUCCCUUAACAAACAUACGUUUUCAUUAUUAUUUAAAACAAUGCAUCCCUUAGCAACAUAAAUUUUCCUAAUUAAAAUAAUUUUUCAAAAAAAUCUGAAGAGAUACAAUCCGACGGCCGUAAUUGUUUGUUUAAUUAUCUAAUGGUCCAAAAUUAUUUUGGUGUAUUUCUUAAGUCGUAUCGCAACUUUUUCUGAAGACUUUUCAUCUGAAAAAACACACACCUUCUAGAGUUGUCCUUGAUGUACCUUUUCAUGAUCUAUAUAUUGAACUUUUUACAGCAAAAAUCUAUUAAAAAUAUACUUGGUUAUUCAUCUUCUAUUUCAUUUUCUGUAUUUGUUUUUGAUCUCUGUCAAGGUAUGUCAUCUUCUCCUUCCUUUUAAGUCACAGUCAUUAUUGAAUAGUUGAUCUGUUUACGGUGAGAGUUACCACUAGGUUUUGAUGGUUUUUAAGAAGUAGAGAUCAAAGCCUUACUACUUUUAAAUAAAUAUCGUUAACGUAUCACGAGUUUCGCAUGGGGAAGUUUGUAUUACAGAAAAUCAUUAGUAUUUGUAUAAGAAAAUACACAAGACGACACUCAUUAUAAAGUCACUAAAUAUAGGGGUCAGACAGUGAGUGGAAAUCAGGGAUUUGAGAGAUAUUUCGACUGAAUAAUUAACGACGUAACUUGCGAUUUAUACAUUUAAUUUCCGUGUUGUAUGAAAGAAAUAUCUGAUUCAUUUGUUUUUUCUUCAGAGCCUUUCAUUCCAUUUGUUUAAGAUCAGUUAAUACAAAACCACUAUUGCAUAAACUAUCGCAAGCGACCUUUGUUGUUGUCGCCAGGACGUUAGGAUUCUAAAAUCAGAUUGCAAGUCUCAUUUUAAAAGGUCUCAUUUUGAUCUCCGUGUUGUCUCCUCCACGUCUCCAUCAUUUGGAUCCAUUUCGUUGGAUUUUGAUGGCACGGCUGCUUCUUCCGGUAGUUGUGUCCGGUGACGACAACAACGGUUGUUCUUCCUCAACCAAAAAAAAGCCAAUAGAUGAAGAGUAGAUAGGAGAGAGCGAUGGUGAAGUCUGUAUUAGCAUUAAACAUAAACAAACGUUUUGGGUGAAAUGAGAUGACUGGAAUGAAACAAAGGCUAAUGGUUUCACGUGGGGCAAUGGGUUUUUGGUUCCAAGAGGAUUUGUAUAACUCAAUGAUUUACAAUGGUGAAAAUACUCAGAAAAUGUUUAUUACUCAUUAACCAACAAAUUCACGCUUCGGGUUA